rnacentral:rRNA from 2 species
UUCUGCCACCGAAUACAUUAGCAUGGGAUAAUGGAAUAGGACCCUGUCCUCCUAUUUUCAGUUGGUUUUGGCAGCGCGAGGACUAGGGUAAUGAUUAAUAGGGAUAGUUGGGGGCAUUAAUAUUUAAUUGUCAGAGGUGAAAUUCUUGGAUUUAUGAAAGAUUAACUUCUGCGAAAGCAUCUGCCAAGGAUGUUUUCAUUAAUCAAGAACGAAAGUUAGGGGAUCGAAGACGAUCAGAUACCGUCGUAGUCUUAACCAUAAACGAUGCCGACCAGCGAUUAGGAGACGUUGAAUACAAAACACCACCAUCGGCGCGGUCGUCCUUGGCGUUCGUGUUCACGCACGAGCGCGAGGGCGGCUUAGCCCGAUGGCACCGGUGAAUGACUCCCCUAGCAGCUUGUGAGA